rnacentral:rRNA from 1 species
AUUGAACGCUGGCGGCAGGCUUAACGCAUGCAAGUCGAGCGGGGUGAUGGUGCUUGCACUAUCACUUAGCGGCGAACGGGUGAGUAAUGCUUAGGAAUCUGCCUAUUAGUGGGGGACAACAUCUCGAAAGGGAUGCUAAUACCGCAUACGUCCUACGGGAGAAAGCAGGGGAUCACUUGUGACCUUGCGCUAAUAGAUGAGCCUAAGUCGGAUUAGCUAGUUGGUGGGGUAAAGGCCUACCAAGGCGACGAUCUGUAGCGGGUCUGAGAGGGUGAUCCGCCACACUGGGACGGAGACACGGCCCAGACUCCUACGGGAGGCAGCAGUGGGGAAUAUUGGACAAUGGGGGGAACCCUGAUCCAGCCAUGCCGCGUGUGUGAAGAAGGCCUUAUGGUUGUAAAGCACUUUAAGCGAGGAGGAGGCUCUUUUGGUUAAUACCCAAGAUGAGUGGACGUUACUCGCAGAAUAAGCACCGGCUAACUCUGUGCCAGCCGCCGCGGUAA